rnacentral:rRNA from 1 species
UGGCGGCAGGCCUAACACAUGCAAGUCGAGCGGAAACGAGUUAACUGAACCUUCGGGGGACGUUAACGGCGUCGAGCGGCGGACGGGUGAGUAAUGCCUAGGAAAUUGCCCUGAUGUGGGGGAUAACCAUUGGAAACGAUGGCUAAUACCGCAUGAUGCCUACGGGCCAAAGAGGGGGACCUUCGGGCCUCUCGCGUCAGGAUAUGCCUAGGUGGGAUUAGCUAGUUGGUGAGGUAAGGGCUCACCAAGGCGACGAUCCCUAGCUGGUCUGAGAGGAUGAUCAGCCACACUGGAACUGAGACACGGUCCAGACUCCUACGGGAGGCAGCAGUGGGGAAUAUUGCACAAUGGGCGCAAGCCUGAUGCAGCCAUGCCGCGUGUGUGAAGAAGGCCUUCGGGUUGUAAAGCACUUUCAGUCGUGAGGAAGGUUUAUGCGUUAAUAGCGUAUAGAUUUGACGUUAGCGACAGAAGAAGCACCGGCUAA